AGUGAACGCUGGCGGCGUGCCUAAUACAUGCAAGUCGAACGGAGUGGCUCACGGGUGAGUAAUGUAUAGCUAAUCUGCCCUACACUAGAGGACAACAGUAUAAAACGACUGCUCAUACUCUAUAGGGAAGGAUGAGGCUAUCGUGUAGCAGCUAGUUGGUGAAGUAAUGGCUCACCAAGGCUAUGACGCAUAACUGGUCUGUGAGGAUGAUCAGUCGUACUGGAACUGAGACCAGGUCCAGACUCCUACGGGAGGAAGCAGUAGGGAAUAUUGCUGGAUGGGAGACACCCUGAAGCAGCAACGCCGCGUGGAGGAUGACACUGUUCGGAGCGUAAACUCCAUUUGUUAGGGAAGCGGUACCUAACGAAGAAGCACCGGCUAACUCCGUGCCAGCAGCCGCGGUAAUUC
rnacentral:rRNA from 1 species